CUUGUACACACCGCCCGUCACACCAUGGAAGUUGGUUCUGCCUGAAGCCGGUUGCCUAACGCAAGAGGGCGCCGACCACGGCCGGGCCAAUGACUGGGGUG
rnacentral:rRNA from 1 species